UACGGAGGGGGCGAGCGUUAUUCGGAAUUAUUGGGCGUAAAGGGCGCGUAGGCGGCCUGAUAAGUCAAAGGUGAAAUCCCUCGGCUCAACUGAGGAAUUGCCUUUGAAACUGUCAGGCUUGAGGCCGGGAGGGGGUGGCGGAAUUCCCAGUGUAGCGGUGAAAUGCGUAGAUAUCGGGAAGAACACCCGUGGCGAAGGCGGCUCUCUGGGACGGUACUGACGCUGAGACGCGAAAGCGUGGGGAGCGAACAGG
rnacentral:rRNA from 1 species